GAGACCUUGAGAGUGUCCUUGUGUCACUUCUUCUGACCACCAUAGUACCUUGCUGCUUCAGCUAAGCUGGUUUGCCUGAGAAUCUAACCACUGUGUACAGGCAUACCUCAGAGAUACUGAAGUUUUAUUUAAAGAUCACCACAAUAAAGCAAGUCACAUGAA